rnacentral:rRNA from 1 species
CGGGGGGAGCAAGCGUUGUUCGGAUUUACUGGGCGUAAAGGGCGCGUAGGCGGCCACUGCAAGUCGGUUGUGAAAUCUCCGGGCUUAACCCGGAAAGGUCAAUCGAUACUGCAGGGCUAGAGUGCAGAAGGGGCAACUGGAAUUCUCGGUGUAGCGGUGAAAUGCGUAGAUAUCGAGAGGAACACCUGCGGCGAAGGCGGGUUGCUGGGCUGACACUGACGCUGACAGCGCGAAAGCUAGGGGAGCGAACGGGAUUAGAUACCCCGGUAGUCCUAGCCUUAAACGAUGAAUGCUUGGUGUCUGGGGUUUUAUAGUCCCCGGGUGCCGUCGCUAACGCUUUAAGCAUUCCGCCUGGGGAGUACGGUCGCAAGACUG